UACGUAGGGGGCAAGCGUUGUCCGGAAUCACUGGGCGUAAAGGGUGCGUAGGCGGGUCUUUAAGUCAGGGGUGAAAUCCUGGAGCUCAACUCCAGAACUGCCUUUGAUACUGAAGAUCUUGAGUUCGGGAGAGGUGAGUGGAACUGCGAGUGUAGAGGUGAAAUUCGUAGAUAUUCGCAGAACACCAGUGGCGAAGGCGGCUCACUGGCCCGAUACUGACGCUGAGGCACGAAAGCGUGGGGAGCAAACAGG
rnacentral:rRNA from 1 species